rnacentral:tRNA from 2 species
CGGGAUGUAGCGCAGCUUGGUAGCGCACUUCGUUCGGGACGAAGGGGCCGCACGUUCAAAUCGUGUCAUCCCGA